GAUUAAGUUAUUAAGGGCGCACGGUGGAUGCCUUGGCACUAGAAGCCAAUGAAGGACGUUACUAACGACGAUAUGCUUUGGGGAGCUGUAAGUAAGCUUUGAUCCAGAGAUUUCCGAAUGGGGAAACCCAGCAUGAGUUAUGUCAUGUUAUCGAUAUGUGAAUACAUAGCAUAUCAGAAGGCUCACCCGGAGAACUGAAACAUCUUAGUACCCGGAGGAAGAGAAAGAAAAUUCGAUUCCCUUAGUAGCGGCGAGCGAAACGGGAAGAGCCCAAACCAACAAGCUUGCUUGUUGGGGUUGUAGGACACUCUAUACGGGGUUACAAAGGACGACAUUAGACGAAUCAUCUGGAAAGAUGAAUCAAAGAAGGUAAUAAUCCUGUAGUCGAAAAUGUUGUCUCUCUUGAGUGGAUCCUGAGUACGACGGAGCACGUGAAAUUCCGUCGGAAUCUGGGAGGACCAUCUCCUAAGGCUAAAUACUCUCUAGUGACCGAUAGUGAACCAGUACCGUGAGGGAAAGGUGAAAAGCACCCCGGAAGGGGAGUGAAAUAGAACCUGAAACCGUGUGCUUACAAGUAGUCAGAGCCCGUUAAUGGGGUGAUGGCGUGCCUUUUGUAGAAUGAACCGGCGAGUUACGAUUUGAUGCAAGGUUAAGCAGUAAAUGUGGAGCCGUAGCGAAAGCGAGUCUGAAUAGGGCGUUUAGUAUUUGGUCGUAGACCCGAAACCAGGUGAUCUACCCUUGGUCAGGUUGAAGUUCAGGUAACACUGAAUGGAGGACCGAACCGACUUACGUUGAAAAGUGAGCGGAUGAACUGAGGGUAGCGGAGAAAUUUCAAUCGAACCUGGAGAUAGCUGGUUCUCUCCGAAAUAGCUUUAGGGCUAGCCUCAAGUGAUGAUUAUUGGAGGUAGAGCACUGUUUGGACGAGGGGCCCCUCUCGGGUUACCGAAUUCAGACAAACUCCGAAUGCCAAUUAAUUUAACUUGGGAGUCAGAACAUGGGUGAUAAGGUCCGUGUUCGAAAGGGAAACAGCCCAGACCACCAGCUAAGGUCCCAAAAUAUAUGUUAAGUGGAAAAGGAUGUGGCGUUGCCCAGACAACUAGGAUGUUGGCUUUAGAAGCAGCCAUCAUUUAAAGAGUGCGUAAUAGCUCACUAGUCGAGUGACACUGCGCCGAAAAUGUACCGGGGCUAAACAUAUUACCGAAGCUGUGGAUUGUCCUUUGGACAAUGGUAGGAGAGCGUUCUAAGGGCGUUGAAGCAUGAUCGUAAGGACAUGUGGAGCGCUUAGAAGUGAGAAUGCCGGUGUGAGUGCGAAAGACGGGUGAGAAUCCCGUCCACCGAUUGACUAAGGUUUCCAGAGGAAGGCUCGUCCGCUCUGGGUUAGUCGGGUCCUAAGCUGAGGCCGACAGGCGUAGGCGAUGGAUAACAGGUUGAUAUUCCUGUACCACCUAUAAUCGUUUUAAUCGAUGGGGGGACGCAGUAGGAUAGGCGAAGCGUGCGAUUGGAUUGCACGUCUAAGCAGUAAGGCUGAGUAUUAGGCAAAUCCGGUACUCGUUAAAGGCUGAGCUGUGAUGGGGAGAAGACAUUGUGUCUUCGAGUCGUUGAUUUCACACUGCCGAGAAAAGCCUCUAGAUAGAAAAUAGGUGCCCGUACCGCAAACCGACACAGGUAGUCAAGAUGAGAAUUCUAAGGUGAGCGAGCGAACUCUCGUUAAGGAACUCGGCAAAAUGACCCCGUAACUUCGGGAGAAGGGGUGCUCUUUAGGGUUAACGCCCAGAAGAGCCGCAGUGAAUAGGCCCAAGCGACUGUUUAUCAAAAACACAGGUCUCUGCUAAACCGUAAGGUGAUGUAGUAGGGGCUGACGCCUGCCCGGUGCUGGAAGGUUAAGAGGAGUGGUUAGCUUCUGCGAAGCUACGAAUCGAACGCCCAGUAACGGCGGCCGUAACUAUAACGGUCCUAAGGUAGCGAAAUUCCUUGUCGGGUAAGUUCCGACCCGCACGAAGGCGUAACGAUUUGGGCACUGUCUCAACGAGAGACUCGGUGAAAUCAUAGUACCUGUGAAGAUGCAGGUUACCCGCGACAGGACGGAAAGACCCCGUGGAGCUUUACUGUAGCCUGAUAUUGAGAUUCGGCACAGCUUGUACAGGAUAGGUAGGAGCCUUUGAAAACGUGAGCGCUAGCUUACGUGGAGGCGCUGGUGGGAUACUACCCUAGCUGUGUUGGCUUUCUAACCCGCACCACUUAUCGUGGUGGGAGACAGUGUCAGGCGGGCAGUUUGACUGGGGCGGUCGCCUCCUAAAAGGUAACGGAGGCGCUCAAAGGUUCCCUCAGAAUGGUUGGAAAUCAUUCAUAGAGUGUAAAGGCAUAAGGGAGCUUGACUGCGAGACCUACAAGUCAAGCAGGGUCGAAAGACGGACUUAGUGAUCCGGUGGUUCCGCAUGGAAGGGCCAUCGCUCAACGGAUAAAAGCUACCCCGGGGAUAACAGGCUUAUCUCCCCCAAGAGUUCACAUCGACGGGGAGGUUUGGCACCUCGAUGUCGGCUCAUCGCAUCCUGGGGCUGUAGUCGGUCCCAAGGGUUGGGCUGUUCGCCCAUUAAAGCGGUACGCGAGCUGGGUUCAGAACGUCGUGAGACAGUUCGGUCCCUAUCCGUCGUGGGCGUAGGAAAUUUGAGAGGAGCUGUCCUUAGUACGAGAGGACCGGGAUGGACAUACCUCUGGUGUACCAGUUGUCGUGCCAACGGCAUAGCUGGGUAGCUAUGUGUGGACGGGAUAAGUGCUGAAAGCAUCUAAGCAUGAAGCCCCCCUCAAGAUGAGAUUUCCCAACUUCGGUUAUAAGAUCCCUCAAAGAUGAUGAGGUUAAUAGGUUCGAGGUGGAAGCAUGGUGACAUGUGGAGCUGACGAAUACUAAUCGAUCGAAGACUUAAUCAA
rnacentral:rRNA from 1 species